UACGGAGGGAGCUAGCGUUGUUCGGAAUUACUGGGCGUAAAGCGCGCGUAGGCGGCUUUGUAAGUUAGAGGUGAAAGCCCGGGGCUUAACCCCGGAAUUGCCUUUAAGACUGCAUAGCUAGAAUCCGGGAGAGGUGAGUGGAAUUCCGAGUGUAGAGGUGAAAUUCGUAGAUAUUCGGAAGAACACCAGUGGCGAAGGCGGCUCACUGGACCGUCAUUGACGCUGAGGUGCGAAAGCGUGGGGAGCAAACAGG
rnacentral:rRNA from 1 species